AUCUGUAGCCAAACCACCCUGAAGUCAAAUGGUCUUGUCUGAUCUCAAAAGCUAGGUGGGGAUGGACAAGGCAGUGUUUGGGUAGGAAAAUAAAAUGUGCCAAGUU
rnacentral:rRNA from 14 species